AACGCAUAUUGCGCUCGAGGCUCCGGCCAAGAGCAUGUCUGCCUCAGCGUCGGGUUAAUAUCACACUCCUUACUCCUGUAUGGGAGUAACCAUAGUGUGGACCUGGUUGUUCCAGCGUGGUGUUCAUAUGAUCCUGUCAAAGGGACUAUGAACAAUCUAACCUGCUGGAUCAACUGAAGUGCAGAGGCUAACCAAGGACCCGCUAAGGGCCGCAAUUGGGUAGGCAUUUUCAAUGCUAUCAUGCUUAAUUGUUGGUCUGGGACUUUGAUUGUGAGCCCUCAAACAGGAACCAUAACCCUUAUUUUCUCGAUCUGAGCUCAGGCAAGAACACCCGCUGAACUUAA
rnacentral:misc_RNA from 1 species